rnacentral:lncRNA from 1 species
AUGCUGACCUUAAGAGUGUGUUUCCAAAAAAAAAAAACCAGCACAUCAACUUUCCAACACGAGGUAAUAACAUUUUGGACUUUGUUUACACCACACAGAGAGGAGCUUACAAAGCCCUCCCCCAUCCCCCACCUCGGAGCUUCAGACCACAUCACUGUUAUGCUAAUGCCUGCAUACAGACCACUCAUUAAAGUCGCCAAACCAGUUUACAAACAGAUUAAAGUGUGGCCAGAAGGAUCAUCAGAUGUUCUUCAGGACUGCUUCAACACAACUGACUGGGACAUGUUUAAACAGGCUGCCACAUGCAAUAACACCACUGACCUCCAGGAGUACUCAGAGACUGUCACUGCCUACAUCAAUAAGUGUAUUGAUGAUGUAACAGUCACAAAAACCAUCACUGUCCGGGCCAACCAGAAGCCAUGGAUGACAGGGGAGGUCUACAGACUCAUGAAGACACAGAACGCUGCCUUCAGAGCUGCAGAUGAGGUGGGCCUGAGAACAGCUAGGGCCAACCUGUCCCGUGGGAUCAGAGAGGCUAAGAGACAGCACUCCAGGAGGAUAGCUCAUCAAUUCAGUGACAGCAGAGACACUAGGAACCUGUGGCAGGGGAUACAGACCAUUACGGACUACAAGCCCCCACCCCGGACCUGUGACAACAACAUCUCUCUGCUGAACGAGCUGAACACCUUCUUCGCUCGCUUUGAGCAACAAAACAGCACCACUGCACAGAAGACUCCACCUCCUCCCGGUGACCAGGUGAUGACGCUGACCCCAGACAGCGUGAGGAGAUCCUUCAGCAGGAUCAAUACACGCAAAGCUCCGGGUCCUGACAACAUCCCAGGGCGUGCACUGAGAGACUGUGCAGCAGAACUCACUGAUGUAUUCACAGACAUUUUCAACAUAUCACUGAGUCAGGCUGUUGUUCCCACAUGCUUUAAAACCACUACCAUCAUCCCAGUCCCAAAGAAGCCAUCUCCAUCCUGCUUCAAUGACUACCGUCCUGUUGCACUUACCCCCAUUCUCAUGAAGUGCUUUGAACGGCUAGUCAUGCACCACAUCAAGUCUGCCCCCCCCCUCCCUGAACCCCUUCCAGUUUGCAUAUCAGUCCAACCGGUCGACCGAUGA